rnacentral:lncRNA from 1 species
GGAAGUUGGACACCAGUGAUCGAACGCCCAACUUGUAUAAAAAGGAACGAUGAAGAGACCUGGCAAUAGCCUUAGUGAACAGAUCUGCCAGCUGAGAAGAAGAGGGAACAAAAGACAAUGAAAUUAAUCCAUCAAGAAGCUUUUCACGAACAAAAUGACAAUCAAGCUCUAUGUGCUUGGUCCGUUCAUGAAAGACAUGAUUUUUUGCGAUAUGAAUCGCUGCCUUAUUAUCACAGUGAAGCAACACUGGCAAAGAUGGUGAAAUAGUUAAAUCUUGGAGAAGGCGAACAAUCCAAGUGAUCUUUGCAACGAGGCGGCGCAUCGAUCUAUACUCUGCCUCUGCCGAAGAAAGUGAAACAAUAGGUUAUUUUUUAGAUUUCCAGGAGAUUGGGGAUCCGCCCAGACUUAAGAAAAAACCACUAACGAACCGCCGAGUAUCGGAACAAGCGGCCCAAUCGAAAUCACAGUAAGCCAAAAUCUGGUAAGAAGAGUCAGGACUCAUAAAUAAUCCAAGACCAGGAUCUCUUCUCAAAUAUCUUAAAGUGUGACAAGCAGCGUCCAAAUGUCCAGAACAUGGAGAUUGCAUGUAUUGACUAAGGGCGUGAACGGUAAAGGAGAGGUCAGGGCAUUUAUUGGUUAAAUAAUUCAAUUUCCCCAAGAAGCGUCUGUAGAUAAGAGGAUCCGGAAGCAGAGUUCCACAUGUAGCAGAAAGUUUGAGAAUUGGGUUCAAAGGCGUAGAGAUAGGCCGUGAAUCAAGGCAAUUGAACUCUGAAAGAAGCUCCAAAGCAAAUUUUCAUUGGGUAAUCACGAAACCUCCAUUCUCUGUAAUCAACUCCAUGCCUAAAAAAUAGUGUGUCUCACCUAAGUCCUUAAUUCAAAAUUCAGAGUCUAAAAAAGAUUUAAUCUCACUGAUUUCUUGCUUGUGAUUCCCAGUAAUAAGAAUGUCAUCGACGUACACAGCAAGUAUAGUAACCAGAUUCCCCGUGAUUUUAAAGAAAAGGGAGUAGUCGUUGGGAGAACAGAGGAAUCCUCUUGUAGCCAAAGCUGAAGAUAAACGAGCAUACCAUUGGCGAGAUGCUUGUUUGAGCCCGUACAUGGAUUUGUGUAGUCGACAAACGUGAGAGGUAAAAGGAGGGGUCACACUAGGAGGGAACGCAUAUAAACUUCCUCAUCAAGAUUGCCAUGAAGAAACACAUUAUUGACAUUAAGCCGGUACAAUGUCCAACCUUUCUUUACUGCAACAGAAAUAAUGCAUCUUAUAGUUGUCAUUUUUACUACGGGAGAAAAUGUCUCUGUAUAGUCAAUCCCCUCCCUUUGAGUAUCCCCUCGUAUUACCAAUCUAGCUUUCAACCGUUCUAAAGAUCCAUCUGACUUCAAUUUAACUUUGUAAACUCAUUUGCAGGGCAGGGCCUUCCUCCUAGCGGGCAACUCAACCACAUCCCAAGUUCGAUUGGAAACAAGAGCCUCAAGUUCAUUAGCCAUUGCAGCUCUCCAGCCAAGAUGCAUUAUAGCUUGUUGGUAAGAGGUAGGUUCAUUAAUUUGGCAAAUAGAGUUAAUUAGUGUUUGGUUCUUUGAGGCCAUUGCUGAGAAAGAAGAACAAUGUAAAGGGAGUAAAUGGGGGUUAGGAGAAAAAACUGAAUAAGCAGUAGAACAUAUAUAAUCAGAUAAAUAGGUUGGAGGAUUGUGUUCCCUUUGUGAUCUGCGCAACAAUGGCUCUUAUUCUAGCGAUAACACUGUAGUAGACUCACUAGUACCAGGAGAUGUGUGAAAUGUACCUGAAACAUCAGUAGAUGUAGGAGAAAAAGAAGGAGAAGGAACAUAGGGGCUAAGAGGUUCUGGUGAAGAUGAUGAAGGUGGCUGCUCAGGUGUUGGUGAGUGUGACUCAUCUGUAGGAGGAAAAGUGGCGGGAAACAAUUUAGUCAUUGGAGUGGAGCAGGAGAAAGGAAAAAUGUCCUCAAUAAACUUGAUGUCCCUAGAGAUAACAAUUUGAUUGGAUUGUAGAGUGAGAACCUUAUAUCCCUUCUUUCCAAAUGGAUAAUCUGAAAAAUUCCUAGAACAGCCCUAGGACUCAACUUAUCUCCGUUUUUAGGAAGUGUUGAUACAAAACAAAGACACCCAAAAGGCUUAAGAAGCUUAUAAGGUGACUUGUGAUGCAAAACUUUAGAGGGAAAUCUGUUGAUCAAAUGGGUUGCAGUGAGUAGGCACUCUCCCCAAUGCCUUUUAGGAGCAUGAGACUGAAACAAUAGAGCCCUACAUGUUUCUAAUAGGUGUCUAUGUUUUCACUCGACCACACCAUUUUGUUGCGGCGUUGCGACGCAUGAAGUUUGGUGAAUUAUACCUUGGGAAUGAAAAUAUUCAGUGGUGAGGUUUCCUGAUCCCAACUCAAAAGCAUUUUCUGACCUGAUCAACUUAACUUUAGUGGAAAACUGUCGCUCAACAAUAGAAAUAAAGGAUUUAAGAGUAGGGAAGGCAUUUGAUUUAGUGCAAAGUAGGAAAGUCCAAGUUCUUCUUGAGAAGUCAUCAACAAUAGUUAAAAAAUAUCUUUCUCCUUUAUAAGUUGGAGUUUUAUAGGGUCCCCAAGUGUCUAUAUGAAUUAAUUCAAAACAAUUCUUUGAAGUAAUGGAACUCUUGGGAAAGCAUAGUUUAGAUUACCUUGCCAUGGGGCAUAUCUCACAAGGAAAAUCAAUUUUAUCAUUGAGUGUUAUUGGUAAAACUUUGAUACUUUUCAUAGAAUGAAAUGGUAAAUGCCCUAAUCUCUUAUGCCAAUGAAGGAUAGAAUCAGAAGCAGAAUGAGCUGAAAUAUUUUGAUUAAUAGUAGCACAAGAUUUAUUAGUACAAUCUUGACUCAAUAGACUCAGGGAAGAAUACCUUUGACAUACUAACUUGGAACAACAAAUAGAACAAACUAGACCUAGACUCAUGACUGGAAUCAAAAAAAGGAUUGGAAACAGUGGUUUCUGGGAAAUGAUAUCCAUUUGGGAAGUGUUAUCUCUCAUCACAUAGAGCCCUGCUCCAGCUUCACCAAGAACUUGUUCCCUCUUCAAAAAAGGGGCAUGUAAUCAAAUUGUGUACAAAGCUGAGAAACUGAUAGAAGAUUGUGUUUAAAUGCAGGGACAAGAAGCACAUUGUGCAACCCAAAAUCUGGAGUGAGAUAGAGGCUUCCCACAUAGAAAACUUUUACCUUAUAUGAGUUGGAUAGGAUGACUAAAACAGGACAUGCUAGCUCUAAAACAUUAUGUAAUAGGGAUCUUUCAAAAGUAAUGUGUUGUGAAGUACCGGAAUCAAUAAUCCAAGUAAAGUGGGUUAAAUUAGAAUAAAAGAAAGUAUAGAUAUGACAACCAUAAUGCAUACCGGCCAGAUUUGCACUGGCAAUGACCUCUGAAUUGUUGAUUCCAGGUCCUCCUUGCAUUAAUUGGAACAUCUGGAUAAGCCAGUCACAUUGCUCUUUUGUGAAUCCUUGACUGCUGACAAGUGAUGACACAGAAUUGGCUUCCACUCCAUUGGUUAGUUCCUGCUCAAAAGCUACUGCAUUAACCUAUUGAUUCCCAAAGUUUCCCUUCUUGGCUUAUUAAACUUAAAGUGUGAAAGGUAUCCAAUAAGUUUGUAGCUGUUUUCUUUAACAUGUCCUGAUUUUCUGUAGUACUUGCAAUACUGAUCUGAUUUCUUAAUUUCAAGGUUACCAGAAUUUGGUGUCUUGUAUUCUAUUGUAUUCCUUGGUGGAUUCCAUCUUUGCCCAGUGGUAAAAAAAGUAGAAGGAUCAGAGUUAAGGACAUUGUUAGAGUGUUCCUCUCUUUGCGAUUCCUCAUGUAAAAUGAUAGAGUACGCUUGAGCAGUAGUGGACAGAGGUUUCAUCAUCAAAAUAUUUCCCCUCACACCAGUGUACACAUCAUUGAGACCCAUCAAAAAUUGUAUCAGUUGUUGAUUUUCAUUCAUUUUAAUAUUAUGAGUCUUAGCUCCACAAUUGCACUCACAACUGUAGAUCAUAAAAAUAUUGAGUAAUUUCAGUUGAUCCCAAAUUCUCUUAAUCUUAGUAAAAUAACCUGCUACAUCUGAAGUACCUUGACUAAUAAUAUUAAGCUCUCUUUGCAACUGAAAGAGUUUAGUUCCAUCUACUUGUCCAUAUCUCUGCUCAAGUUCAUUCUAAAGCUCUUUAGCAGUUUGAGAGUAGAUCACACUUUCAGCAAUAUUUCUGCUAAGAGAGUUCAGCAACCAGGCAAUCACCAUGUCAUUGGUUCUCUUCCACUGUGUCUGCAAGGGUGAAUCCAAAUCUGGACUAGUACAUGAUCCAGUGAUAAAUCCUAGCUUAUUUUUGUGCCGAGAGAGAGAUCAGUACUCCUCUGCGCCAGUUAGCAUAACAAAAGCCAUCGAAGUUACAUUAAGGAGGUUCAUUUCGAGACUAUCUGAUGGAGAAAGAAAAUAAGGGUGACAUGAAUCUAUUUGUUGAGAAUGAGUGAGUGCAGAUUUAGAGGUAUAUCCUGAUUGAGGAGUAAUAGGAUCAGUCACAAUCUCUACCAUGAUUGUAGAUGAAUUUGAAAUAGGAAUUUAAAAAAUAAUGUAUAAGCUUUCAGAGAUGCUCUGAUACCUUGAAGGAAAUUGGAGAGAAUAAUGAUGUAUGAAAUUUUCUGUGUAUUCAGCUUGAUUAUUCUCUGUACAUAUUGUUGCUUUAUACAGAAUAGAAAAGAAUCUAUGUAUAACUACCUAUUCAACUGUUCCUGUCCUAUUGGUAAAAGAAUAACAAACUAUGAGAUAAAGACAAAAAAAGAACCCUAUUUACAAUCAAAUACAUAAGAAUCUUCUAGUAGUAAUCAUAAAAUACCAAGUAAAGGUCUGGGCCCUAGUACUCUUUAAGAGCAAUACACUUUAUCAUAGGUCCAGUACAAAUGCUCAAAUUAGAGCACUGUAUCUUUGUUCAGACAUAACCUCGAGUGGUCAGAAAAGGCAUUCUAACAUUAACCUUUCCCUGAACU